rnacentral:rRNA from 1 species
UACGAAGGGGGGCUAGCGUUGUUCGGAAUCACUGGGCGUAAAGGGCGCGUAGGCGGCUUUAUAAGUCGGGGGGUGAAAGCCUGUGGCUCAACCACAGAAUUGCCUUCGAUACUGUAUGGCUUGAGACCGGAAGAGGUAAGUGGAACUGCGAGUGUAGAGGUGAAAUUCGUAGAUAUUCGCAAGAACACCAGUGGCGAAGGCGGCUUACUGGUCCGGUUCUGACGCUGAGGCGCGAAAGCGUGGGGAGCAAACAGG